UACGUAGGGCGCAAGCGUUAUCCGGAAUUAUUGGGCGUAAAGCGCUCGUAGGCGGGACAGGAAGUUCGUGUUGAAAGACCUCGGCUCAACUGAGGGACCGGCUCGAAUACUCUUGUUCUUGAGGCAAUCAGAGGGUGAUGGAAUUCCCGGUGUAGCGGUGAAAAUGCGUAGAUAUCGGGAGGAACACCAGUGGCGAAGGCGAUCACCUGGGGUUGUUCUGACGCUGAGGAGCGAAAAGCUAGGGGAGCAAACGGG
rnacentral:rRNA from 1 species